rnacentral:rRNA from 1 species
AUUGAACGCUGGCGGCAGGCCUAACACAUGCAAGUCGAGCGGAUGAAGGGAGCUUGCUCCUGGAUUCAGCGGCGGACGGGUGAGUAAUGCCUAGGAAUCUGCCUGGUAGUGGGGGAUAACGUCCGGAAACGGGCGCUAAUACCGCAUACGUCCUGAGGGAGAAAGUGGGGGUUCUUCGGACUCACCCUUUUCAGAUGACCCUAGGUCGGAUUAGCUAGUUGGUGGGGUAAAGGCCUACCAAGGCGACGAUCCGUAACUGGUCUGAGAGGAUGAUCAGUCACACUGGAACUGAGACACGGUCCAGACUCCUACGGGAGGCAGCAGUGGGGAAUAUUGGACAAUGGGCGAAAGCCUGAUCCAGCCAUGCCGCGUGUGUGAAGAAGGUCUUCGGAUUGUAAAGCACUUUAAGUUGGGAGGAAGGGCAGUAAGUUAAUACCUUGCUGUUUUAACGUUACCAACAGAAUAAGCACCGGCUAACUUCGUG